GAUGAACGCUGGCGGCGUGCCUAAUACAUGCAAGUCGAGCGAAUGGAUUAAGAGCUUGCUCUUAUGAAGUUAGCGGCGGACGGGUGAGUAACACGUGGGUAACCUGCCCAUAAGACUGGGAUAACUCCGGGAAACCGGGGCUAAUACCGGAUAACAUUUUGAACCGCAUGGUUCGAAAUUGAAAGCCGGCUUCGGCUGUCACUUAUGGAUGGACCCGGGUCGCAUUAGCUAGUUGGUGAGGUAACGGCUCACCAAGGCAAUGAUGCGUAGCCGACCUGAGAGGGUGAUCGGCCACACUGGGACUGAGACACGGCCCAGACUCCUACGGGAGGCAGCAGUAGGGAAUCUUCCGCAAUGGACGAAAGUCUGACGGAGCAACGCCGCGUGAGUGAUGAAGGCUUUCGGGUCGUAAAACUCUGUUGUUAGGGAAGAACAAGUGCUAGUUGAAUAAGCUGGCACCUUGACGGUACCUAACCAGAAAGCCACGGCUAACUACGUGCCAGCAGCCGCAGUAA
rnacentral:rRNA from 1 species